GUGCCUAAUACAUGCAAGUCGAGCGCACUGGCCCAACUGAUAUGAYGUGCUUGCACUGAUUUGACGAUGGAUUACCAGUGAGCGGCGGACGGGUGAGUAACACGUGGGCAACCUGCCCUAAAGCGGGGGAUAACAUUUGGAAACAGGUGCUAAUACCGCAUAACUACGAAAACCACAUGGUUUUCGUAUCAAAGAUGGUUUCGGCUAUCACUUUAGGAUGGGCCCGCGGUGCAUUAGCUAGUUGGUAGGGUAACKGCCUACCAAGGCAAUGAUGCAUAGCCGAGUUGAGAGACUGAUCGGCCACAAUGGAACUGAGACACGGUCCAUACUCCUACGGGAGGCAGCAGUAGGGAAUCUUCCACAAUGGGCGCAAGCCUGAUGGAGCAACACCGCGUGAGUGAAGAAGGGUUUCGGCUCGUAAAACUCUGUUGUUGAAGAAGAACGUGCAUGAGAGUAACUGUUCAUGCAGUGACGGUAUUCAACCAGAAAGUCACGGCUAACUACGUGCCAGCAGCCGCGGUAAUACGUAG
rnacentral:rRNA from 2 species